GAUGAACGCUGGCGGCGUGCCUAAUACAUGCAAGUCGAGCGAACAGACGAGGAGCUUGCUCCUCUGACGUUAGCGGCGGACGGGUGAGUAACACGUGGAUAACCUACCUAUAAGACUGGGAUAACUUCGGGAAACCGGAGCUAAUACCGGAUAAUAUAUUGAACCGCAUGGUUCAAUAGUGAAAGACGGUUUUGCUGUCACUUAUAGAUGGAUCCGCGCCGCAUUAGCUAGUUGGUAAGGUAACGGCUUACCAAGGCAACGAUGCGUAGCCGACCUGAGAGGGUGAUCGGCCACACGGGAACGGAGACACGGUCCAGACUCCUACGGGACGCAGCAGUAGGGAAUCUGCCGCAAUGGGCGGAAGCCUGACGGAGCAACGCCGCGUGAGUGAUGAAGGUCUUCGGAUAGUAAAACUCUGUUAUUAGGGAAGAACAAAUGUGUAAGUAACUAUGCACGUCUUGACGGUACCUAAACAGAAAGCCACGGCUAACUACGUG
rnacentral:rRNA from 1 species